GUGAGGAAUAUUGCGCAAUGGAGGCAACUCUGACGCAGCCAUGCCGCGUGCAGGAAGAAGGCGCUACGCGUUGUAAACUGCUUUUAACCGGGAAGAAACCCCAGGACGUGUCCUGGGUUGACGGUACCGGAGGAAUAAGCACCGGCUAACUUCGUGCCAGCAGCCGCGGUAAUACGAAGGGUGCAAGCGUUAUCCGGCUUCAUUGGGUUUAAAGGGUGAGUAGGCGGAGCGUUACGUCAGUGGUGAAAUCCUGCAGCUUAACUGUAGACUUGCCAUUGAUACUGGCGCUCUUGAGUGCGCUUGAAGUGGGCGGAAUGUGCCGUGUAGCGGUGAAAUGCUUAGAUAUGGCACAGAACACCAAUUGCGAAGGCAGCUCACUAAGGCGAUACUGACGCUGAGGCACGAAAGCGUGGGGAUCGAACAGGAUUAGAUACCCUUGUAGUCC
rnacentral:rRNA from 1 species